GAAAUGCGAUACGUAGUGUGAAUUGCAGAAUUCAGUGAAUCAUCGAAUCUUUGAACGCACAUUGCGCCCUUUGGUAUUCCAAAGGGCAUGCCUGUUCGAGCGUCAUUUGUACCCUCAAGCUUUGCUUGGUGUUGGGCGUUUUUGUCCCCCCCAAAAGGGGGACUCGCCUUAAAAGGAUUGGCAGCCGGCCUACUGGUUUCGCAGCGCAGCACAUUUUUGCGCUUGCAAUCAGCAAAAGAGGACGGCAAUCCAUCAAGACUCCUUCUCACGUUUGACCUCGGAUCAGGUAGGGAUACCCGCUGAACUUAAGC
rnacentral:misc_RNA from 1 species